AACCGGUACACCUCCAGCGGC
rnacentral:misc_RNA from 1 species